UACGGAGGGUGCAAGCGUUAUCCGGAUUCACUGGGUUUAAAGGGUGCGUAGGCGGGUUGGUAAGUCCGUGGUGAAAUCUCCGAGCUUAACUCGGAAACUGCCGUGGAUACUAUCAAUCUUGAAUAUCGUGGAGGUAAGCGGAAUAUGUCAUGUAGCGGUGAAAUGCUUAGAUAUGACAUAGAACACCAAUUGCGUAGGCAGCUUACUACACGAUCAUUGACGCUGAGGCACGAAAGUGUGGGGGAGCAAACAGG
rnacentral:rRNA from 1 species